rnacentral:rRNA from 1 species
UAGGGAAUCUUCGGCAAUGGACGAAAGUCUGAACGAGCAACGCCGCGUGAGUGAAGAAGGUUUUCGGAUCGUAAAACUCUGUUGUUAGAGAAGAACAAGGACGUUAGUAACUGAACGUCCCCUGACGGUAUCUAACCAGAAAGCCACGGCUAACUACGUGCCAGCAGCCGCGGUAAUACGUAGGUGGCAAGCGUUGUCCGGAUUUAUUGGGCGUAAAGCGAGCGCAGGCGGUUUCUUAAGUCUGAUGUGAAAGCCCCCGGCUCAACCGGCGAGGGUCAUUGGAAACUGUGAUACUUGAGUGCAGAAGAGGACAGUGGAAUUCCAUGUGUAGCGGUGAAAUGCGUAGAUAUAUGGAGGAACACCAUUGGCGAAGGCGGCACUCUGGUCUGUAACUGACGCUGAGGCUCGAAAGCGUGGGGAGCAAACAGG